rnacentral:rRNA from 1 species
AUUGAACGCUGGCGGCAUGCCUUACACAUGCAAGUCGAACGGUAACGCGGGGCAACCUGGCGACGAGUGGCGAACGGGUGAGUAAAGCAUCGGAACGUGCCCAGUAGUGGGGGAUAGCCCGGCGAAAGCCGGAUUAAUACCGCAUACGACCUAUGGGUGAAAGCGGGGGAUCGCAAGACCUCGCGCUAUUGGAGCGGCCGAUGUCAGAUUAGGUAGUUGGUGGGGUAAAGGCCUACCAAGCCGACGAUCUGUAGCUGGUCUGAGAGGACGACCAGCCACACUGGGACUGAGACACGGCCCAGACUCCUACGGGAGGCAGCAGUGGGGAAUUUUGGACAAUGGGGGCAACCCUGAUCCAGCCAUGCCGCGUGCGGGAAGAAGGCCUUCGGGUUGUAAACCGCUUUUGUCAGGGAAGAAAUCUUUUGGGUUAAUACCUCGGAAGGAUGACGGUACCUGAAGAAUAAGCACCGGCUAACUACGUGCCAGCAGCCGCGGUAAAAC